GACGAACGCUGGCGGCGUGCUUAACACAUGCAAGUCGAGCGGUAAGGCCCUUUCGGGGUACGACGAGCGGCGAACGGGUGAGUAACACGUGGGUGACCUGCCCUCAGCUCUGGGAUAAGCCUGGGAAACCGGGUCUAAUACUGGAUAUGACUCCAUGACGCAUGUUGUGGGGUGGAAAGCCUUGUGCGGCUGAGGAUGGCCCGCGGCCUAUCAGCUUGUUGGUGGGGUGANGGGCCUACCAAAGGCGACGACGGGUAGCCGGCCUGAGAGGGCGACCGGCCGACACUGGGACUGAGACACGGCCCAGACUCCUACGGGAGGCAGCAGUGGGGAAUCUUGCGCAAAUGGGCGAAAGCCUGACGCAGCGACGCCGCGUGAGGGAUGACGGCCUCGG
rnacentral:rRNA from 1 species